rnacentral:tRNA from 1 species
GCGGAUGUGGCGGAACUGGCAGACGCGCAUGAUUUAGGAUCAUGUGGGGCAACCCGUGCAGGUUCAAGUCCUCUCAUCCGCACCA